rnacentral:lncRNA from 1 species
GGCAGAUGACCAGGUACCAGGAGGGUUCCACGCCCUCCUGGGAUGGUGCCCCUUCUCCCCAGGGCUCCCCCUGCGGCCCCGACUCCCAUCUGCGCCCACCCCCUUCCCCGGAGCUGCCCCCAGCUCCCCGGAGCUCCCACAUCCUCCCCGCCUGGCUUCUGCUGCGUUUAGAGAAUUCAAAUCAACACUGGGGUGUAAGAGGCUCCCAGAGCCUCCCUCUCAAGGGCUGCCUCCCUGGGCAGCACGCACCCCGCCUCGGGCAUCUUUGCUUAACAACCAGGGAAACUGAGGACAGACAGCAGGGCAGCGAGGAGCUGGGAGUGGACCAGGACUCCCCUCCGACCUGGCCCUGGCUUGGCCUUGCCUCCGGGUCAGAAGCAGGUGCGGGGAGGGAGGAGGCAGGACAAGAGGUCAGGGGCCUGAGUCCUGAACCUAUAAACAAGCUUCCCGGCCUCACUUUCCCCAUCUGAGGAAUGGGGGAGCCAGGCUGCUCAGAGAGGGUAUGUUCUGAGCCAGAGAACACACGGAGACUGGCCAUCUGCAGCACGGGAGGGGCAGGGGAAGGCGGUGCCCCGCAGGCGUCUGUCCAGCUCAAAGGGACAAGCUCCUUCGCUGCAGACGGGUGCACAGAAACCAGCAUUCACACACACACACACACACACACGCAUGCAUGCCGCUUUCACUGGCCUGGGAGACCCCCCCCCCCCAGGCUUCCUCAGUGCAGCCAGAGACGAGAGGCCACAGAGGGGGCUGCUUCCUGGGGCACUGGCAUUCACCUGGUACCCACUGUGUGCCCAGCCGGCCCUCCCAGAGCCGCUGAGCCCCUGGGAAGGCAGCCUCUGCUCAAAGAGGAAGCCAGACCCACAGUGGGGGGGCGGCUAAUGCAGCCCAGGGGAGCUGCCUGCUCCUGGUGGGGGGGGGGGUGCAUCUCAGCCCCCUGCCUUCUCUUGGCUCCUUCUCCUGCCGUUCUGUCCAGGGAGCAAGGCCGGCCCUGAGCCGGUCAGGGAGGUCCAGGGCUUGGCAGUGAGGGACACAGGCUCUGGAGCGUGGGACCCUCCUCUGCUGCUGGUGGGGGGGUAAAGUGGCUCAGCCACUAUGGAAAACACCGGGCAGCUUUUAAAAAAGUGAAACGCACACUUAGCAUAUGACCCGGUCAUUCCUCUCCUAGGCGUUUAUCCCAGAGAAAUGAAAACUGAGGUCCACGCUGACUUGUACCCGGAUGUUCACAGCAUCUUUAUGGGUAAUAGGCAACACUGGGAACGGCCCACGACCCCUCUCCAGGCAGUCGUGCAUCCCGACAGUGGAACACUGCUCAGCAAUAAGAAGAAAUGAACCACUGAUGCACACGACACGGAGGAACCCCAUGGUUGUUAUGUUGAGUGAGGGGAGCCAGGCGACGAAGAAUGUGUACUGUGUGAUUCCACUCAGAGAAACUUCUAGAAAGUGCGAACUAACCUAUAAUGAGAGAAAGCAGCUCAGUGGUUGCCUGAGGACAAUGGGGCCCAGGAGGGACCACAAAGGGGCACGAGAAAACUUUCGGGGUGGUGGAUAUGUUUACUGUUUUGAUGGUAGUAACCGUUUUAUGGGUUACAGAUGCCCAAACUCAUCAAAUUGUGCAAUUUAAAUAUGUGCCGUUACUGUGUGUCUAUUACACCUGAAUAAACUGAAAAAACAAAUUCCUGCUCUGCCA